AGCAUUAAAGUUUGAGGCUAACUCUUGUUUUGUGGUCAAACAUGCAAAUAUCAAAACACAAACAUACACAAACCAGUGAUCAGGCAAAACACACACUGAUCUCAUUGGCCUGUUGGAUCUUUGCACACACACACACACACACACACACACACACACACACACACACACACACACACACACACACACACACACACACACACACACACACACACACACACACACACACACACACGAUGGCUGGUACUUUGCUUGCGAAGAUCAUAGGAGGAGUUUAGAGUUUUGAUUCCUUUUGCUUUGAGGCAGGCACGUUGGUGUGAGAAUAAGCCAAUCCUUGACCGACAGAUUUUCUGGCAACUGGUGCACUUGUACUCCUGGCCUGUGGCUGUUGUAGCAGUCUGGAUGGAUGCAUCACCCUUUCGCCGGGCACGUUUGUGCAUUUCAGCUGUCCUCUUGGUUUUUGCUGAGCUUGACGGCAGCUUUGUUUACUGCCAAGCGCCAAGCGUUUUUAUCAGCGGCCGUGGACUCCCACGUUUUAGACUCCAGACCUGCCAUGGUCAGCCUGUAAGGUGGGAGCAUACACGCUGAUUAUGGUGGCAAAUUGCCUGUCUUGGAUGGGUAGACGGAGGGACAUCAGGCGGUCUGAGUGGCCGAUUGGAAGGCUUUGGAGUUUCCCAGCGAUGGUGUUCUUGAUCACACACACACACACACACACACACACACACACACACACACACACACACACACACACACACACACACACACACACACACACACACACACACACACACACACACA